CCUACGGGAGGCAGCAGUGAGGAAUAUUGGUCAAUGGACGAGAGUCUGAACCAGCCAAGUAGCGUGAAGGAUGACUGCCCUAUGGGUUGUAAACUUCUUUUAUAUGGGAAUAACAUGUUCCACGUGUGGGAUUUUGUAUGUACCAUAUGAAAAAGGAUCGGCUAACUCCGUGCCAGCAGCCGCGGUAAUACGGAGGAUCCGAGCGUUAUCCGGAUUUUUUGGGUUUAAAGGGAGCGUAGGUGGAUUGUUAAGUCAGUUGUGAAAGUUUGCGGAUCAACCGUAAAAUUGCAGUUGAAUGUGGCAGUCUUGAGUACAGUAGAGGUGGGCGGAAUUCGUGGUGUAGCGGUGAAAUGCUUAGAUAUCACGAAGAACUCCGAUUGCGAAGGCAGCUCACUGGACUGCCACUGACACUGAGGCUCGAAAGUGUGGGUAUCAAACAGGAUUAGAUACCCCAGUAGUC
rnacentral:rRNA from 1 species